UGCUUCACUCAGGCAGCGUGUCCUGGAGGCCUGGGGGCAUUGCCCUGGCAGAGAGAGACAGAGACUGAGAGAGGCUGGGGGACAGAGAGGCUGGGAGAGCGAAUUGGGCGCAGUGACUGUGCGUCUGUGAGCGCUCCUUUGUCUGGCCUCCAGUGACCACCUCGCGGGACGAUGGGGCGCGCGCGAGUGGGCACUCUGAACACGGGUGCUCGCGGCAACGGGGACGUGUCGAAAUGGGGCUACUGAGGCCGCAGUCAGUGAGACGGCUCCGCCACAGCCAGCCUGGAGAGCCGCACUUUUCUCUCCCAAGGAAAGCCACCUCCUGGGAAUCUCCCUCAGCGUCGGUGCGGCUUUCACCGAUGCUCCGCCCCCUGCCAGCAGGUGACUUCCAAGUGGGAGGAGAGUGACAAGAUCUGAUGGCCAAUAUCUGAUGAAAAUAUCACUGGUGGAUGAUGACUGAGCCCUUCACCUACCCUGGAUGUCCUACCUCUUCGCCACAAGGCCCCUGAGACCCUUCUCCCCACCCCAUAGGCAGUGGGCACUUGAAAUGAGCGGUGCUUCUUGGUAGCUGCAAACCCAGAGACCAGCCUCCCUGUACACUGCACAAGGCCAAGUGCAGAAGAACAAAGCUCUUGGACCAGCUUCUCUCUAGCCCUUAGUCAGAAAAAGUGGGAAGGAACCUGUCCCCAGGCUGGAACCUGCCACCCACCCAGAGUCUCCACUGGCGCCUUAGAAGUUCUGGGAUGGGGUGGGGGGAAAAGAGAGCUGGGAAUGAGGCCAGGAAUGCCUGUCCUUUUCCAAGCUUGUCCCCGUCUCUGGGGUCUGAGCCAGCCAUCUCCACACAGAACACAUGGCUUUGUCUCAGUUCUCCUCCAUUUUAUAAAGACUCCCUACU